CCUACGGGUGGCAGCAGGGAGGAAUAAUGGACAAUGGUCGGGAGACGGAACCAGCCAAGCCGCGUGAGGGAUGAAGGUACAGAGUAGAGUAAACCUCUUUUGUCAGGGAACAAAGGCGGGGACGCGUCCCCGGCUGAGUGUACCUGAAGAAAAAGCAUCGGCUAAGUCCGUGCCAGCAGCCGCGGUAAUACGGGGGAUGCGAGCGUGAUCCGGAUUUAGUGGGUUUAAAGGGGGCGCAGGGGGUCUGGUAAGUCAGCGGUCAAAGCCCGGGGCUCCACCCCGGCCCGCCGUUGAAACUGGCAGUCUCGAGUUGGCGAGAAGUAUGCGGAAUGCGCGGUGUAGCGGUGAAAUGCAUAGAUAUCGCUCAGAACUCCGAUUGCGAAGGCAGCAUGCCGGCUCCACACUGCCGCUGAGGCACGAAAGCGUGGGUAUCGAACAGGAUUAGAUACCCUGGUAGUC
rnacentral:rRNA from 1 species